AGAUUGAACGCUGGCGGCAUGCCUUACACAUGCAAGUCGAACGGCAGCACGGGGGCAACCCUGGUGGCGAGUGGCGAACGGGUGAGUAAUGCAUCGGAACGUGCCCAGUAGUGGGGGAUAACUAGUCGAAAGAUUAGCUAAUACCGCAUACGACCUAUGGGUAGAAAGCGGGGGAUUCGCAAGAACCUCGCGCUAUCGGAGCGGCCGAUGUCUGAUUAGCUAGGUUGGGACGGGGUAAAACGCCCACCAAGGCUUCGAUCAGUAGCUGGUCUGAGAGGACCGACCAGCCACACGUGGACUGACGACCGACCGGCCCA
rnacentral:rRNA from 1 species